AAAGACAUGCUUGCUUCCCCUUCACCCUUCCACCAUGAUUGUAACUUUCCUGAGGCCUCCCCAGGCAUGCCUCUUGUACAGCCUGUGGAACUAGAUGAGGUCUCCCUUUGUUGCCCAGCUGGUCUGAAAUUCCUGGUUUCAAGUGACCCUCACACGUCAGCCUCCUAAAGAGGUGAAGUUAUAAGCAUGAACCAUUGUGGUAAGUCUUUGUUUGUUUUUUAUAUUAUCAUCAUAAAGUUGAGUUUCUCUUUCCAUAUGUUUGCUAAGAAGAAUAAAAUAAUUUAUAAAUUUGGUUGAU
rnacentral:lncRNA from 1 species